rnacentral:rRNA from 1 species
AUUGAACGCUGGCGGCAGGCUUAACACAUGCAAGUCGAGCGGAGAUGAGGUGCUUGCACCUUAUCUUAGCGGCGGACGGGUGAGUAAUGCUUAGGAAUCUGCCUAUUAGUGGGGGACAACAUUCCGAAAGGAAUGCUAAUACCGCAUACGUCCUACGGGAGAAAGCAGGGGAUCUUCGGACCUUGCGCUAAUAGAUGGGCCUAAGUCGGAUUAGCUAGUUGGUGGGGUAAAGGCCUACCAAGGCGACGAUCUGUAGCGGGUCUGAGAGGAUGAUCCGCCACAAUGGGACUGAGACACGGCCCAGACUCCUACGGGAGGCAGCAGUGGGGAAUAUUGGACAAUGGGGGAAACCCUGAUCUAGCCAUGCCGCGUGUGUGAAGAAGGCCUUAUGGUUGUAAAGCACUUUAAGCGAGGAGGAGGCUACUGAGACUAAUACUCUUGGAUAGUGGACGUUACUCGCAGAAUAAGCACCGGCUAACUCUGUGCCAGCAGCCGCAGUAA